rnacentral:rRNA from 1 species
GAGAGGGAGCCUGAGAAACGGCUACCACAUCUACGGAAGGCAGCAGGCGCGAAAAUUGCCCAAUCCUGAUUCAGGGAGGCAGUGACAAGAAAUAACAACUUUCAACUUUGUUGAAAAGUGUAAUGAGGAUAAUUUACAAACCUUACCGAAAGCAAUUGGAGGGCAAGUCUGGUGCCAGCAGCCGCGGUAAUUCCAGCUCCAAAAGCGUAUAUUAAAGUUGUUGCAGUUAAAAAGCUCGUAGUUGAAGUUCUGGCUGUAUUGGGCCUUAGCACUUGAUGCGGAGGAACCAGCAGUCAUCCGCUUGCAAAUACAUGUCCUUCCUUAACCGGUAGGCUGUAUAAGUAAGCACUUUACCUUGAGAAAAACAGAGUGUUCCAGGCAGGUUUGUCCGGAAUGCGUUAGCAUGGAAUAAUAGAAUAUGACUGAAGUCGAUUUAUUGGUUUAAGGCUUUAGUAAUGAUUAAUAGGAACAAUCGGGGGCAUUGGUACUUGUCAGUCAGAGGUGAAAUUCUAGGAUUUGACAAAGACUAACUGAUGCGAAAGCGUUUGCCAAGAAUGUUUUCAUUAAUCAAGAACGAAAGUUAGGGGAUCAAAGACGAUCAGAUACCGUCCUAGUCUUAACUAUAAACUAUACCGACUCGGAUUCAGAUGAAUUUUAAAGUUCAUUUGGGACCGUAGGAGAAAUCAAAGUCUUUGGGUUCUGGGGGAGUAUGGUCGCAAGGCUGAAACUUAAAGGAAUUGACGGUUUUGCACCACCAUGGAGUGGAGCCUGCGGCUUAAUUUGACCCAACACUGGGAAACUCAUCAGGGCAAGAAGAUUUUAGGAUUGACAGAUUGAGAGUUCUUUCUUGAUUGGUCUAGUGGUGGUGCAUGGCCGUUCUUAGUUGGUGGAGUGAUUUGUCUGGUUAAUUCCGUUAACGAACGAGACCUUAACCUGCUAACUAGUACUUUGAUUUUCAAUCGGAGUUACUUCUUAGAGGGACUAUGUGAGUAAUCACAUGGAAGUUUGAGGCAAUAACAGGUCUGUGAUGCCCUUAGAUGUCCUGAGCUGCACGCGCGCUACAAUGACACAUUCAGCGAGUAUUUCCUGACCCGAAAGGGCUCGGGUAAUCUUUUCAGUGUGUGUCGUGAUAGGGAUAGAUCCUUGUAAUUAUGGAUCUUGAACGAGGAAUUCCUAGUAAGCGCACGUCAUCAGCGUGUGCUGAUUACGUCCCUGCAAAAUGUACACACCGCCCGUCGCUAUUACCGAUUGGGUGUAUAGGUGAACCUUCUCGAUAGCCGCAAGGCUAGAAAUUAAGUAAACCUUUGCACCUAGAGGAAAUAAAAGUCGUAACAAGGUU